rnacentral:rRNA from 1 species
UACGGAGGGGGCAAGCGUUAUUCGGAAUUAUUGGGCGUAAAGGGCGCGUAGGCGGCUAGAUGUGUCAAAGGUGAAAUCCCUCGGCUCAACUGAGGAACUGCCUUUAAAACUGUCUGGCUUGAGGCCGGGAGAGGGUAGCGGAAUUCCCAGUGUAGCGGUGAAAUGCGUAGAUAUUGGGAGGAACACCAGUGGCGAAGGCGGCUACCUGGACCGGUUCUGACGCUGAGGCGCGAAAGCGUGGGUAGCAAACAGG